AAGAAAGGCUCCCCUCUCUUUUUUUUGUUGUUUCUUUGUGCUUCAACCAGAAGUGUUCUGGCUGUUUUCACCCUCUUACUCUUUUAUGUCAAGUUUGGAGCCAUUUCAUCAAGUCCCAGGAAAAUCUCUGUUGGGUACCAGUCUGUGCUCUUUACACGGCCAGCUCAUUGAACCCUCACCACUGCCUGAUGAAGAUUAACUUCCUAGAAGUGGAAUUACAGCAAAAGAGAGCAUAAACACAUCUGACUACUGGAGCGAUAAGAAAGAUGUUUCCAAAAAAAGCGACCAUUUCUUUGUUAGUGGCAAUGUAUAAAGACGCUUGUUUUAUAAAAA